AACGAACGCUGGCGGCAUGCCUAACACAUGCAAGUCGAACGAGACCUUCGGGUCUAGUGGCGCACGGGUGCGUAACGCGUGGGAACCUGCCCUUAGGUUCGGAAUAACUCCCCGAAAGGGGUGCUAAUACCGGAUAAUGUCUUCGGACCAAAGAUUUAUCGCCUUUGGAUGGGCCCGCGUUGGAUUAGCUAGUUGGUAGGGUAAAAGCCUACCAAGGCGACGAUCCAUAGCUGGUCUGAGAGGAUGAUCAGCCACACUGGGACUGAGACACGGCCCAGACGCCUACGGGAGGUAGCAGUGGGGAAUAUUGGACAAUGGGCGAAAGCCUGAUCCAGCAAUGCCGCGUGAGUGAUGAAGGCCUUAGGGUUGUAAAGCUCUUUUACCCGGGAUGAUAAUGACAGUACCGGGAGAAUAAGCUCCGGCUAACUCCGUG
rnacentral:rRNA from 1 species